GAAAAAUGGCAGAUGAAUAAACAAGUGAACAGAUGAGUGGAUGGCUGGAUGGACAGAUAGAUAAAGAUGAUGAAGGAUUGCAUGGAUGAACAAAUCCCACAUCUUUUGGGUGAUCCCAAAGCUACCUAAAUUAUGGAUUUCUUCUCUUCACCUCUCCUCUGUCCUUCCUGCUCCCACCCCUGAUGGCAGUCCCCAAGGUCCUACAGGGGAUGGUAAGGAGCCCUCCCUGGUUUCUGUAACCAUUCUAGAAAUCAGUCUAACUCACUACCUUCCUGCUUCCAGGGCUUUUCUGUUCUCUGCCCUUUGCCCUCCCUCUCCAACCACUCUAAUAUCUGUGAGUGUUACUGCCUCACCUUAUCCCUGAUGUUGGUGUCUGCUCCUCGGCUUUGCAGGAGUUUUACCACCUCCAAGUGGCCCCCGCGGCAGGCCCAGUGCAUGGCUGUGCAGUCCAGCUAGAAGAGAUGGGGCUUUAGGGGAGAAAAUGCCUAGGGAAAAGGACCCCAACCAAUAGGGUGGGAGGAAUCAGGGAAAAGGGGGCAGGGCAGGAGCAGGGGCACCCCUGUGCCUAGGCAAUGGACUUGGCAGAGCAGGAGAACCCUCAGGUCCAAGCCAGGUUUAUGGAGGAUGGCCCCAGGCCAUAUAACCCACUGGAACUUGGGGCUGGCCCGGAGGAAGCCUGGGUGUGUCCCAGGUUGCCACAGGUUUGCAGGGAGAGGGGGUCUACUGGUUCUGGGCCCACCUCCUACCUCCCACCCAACACCUGCUCUCUUGCUCACCCGAUCCUGGAAGUCCACAGUGGCCCCACUCUCCAGAAGCUUCUCCAGGAUCUCCAUGUGACCUUCCAGGGAAGCUCGAUGAAGCGCUGUCCGGCGGAACUGUCCCGAGAGCAACUGUCAGGGCCUGAUCUCUGGCCUCAGGCUGAGACCCAGGCCUUACCUCUUUUCCAUUCUGAUCCCUGUGCUGGGUGCCCAUAGCUUCCAUGUUCUGGCAGCUCCUUCAUGUUCUAUUCAGACCAGCCUGGGAGCCCUCUUAUGCCCUGGGAACUCUUACUUUACUGUCCCCCACCCCAGGCACAUCAAGCUAGAUCUUGACACAGGCUGUUCCCUCUGCUGGGAAUGCCCCUUUUGCCCUCACUUCAUAUGACUGCUUGAUGAAUUCUUGCUCCUCCUUCAAGAAGCAGGGCAGUUCAAGUGCCAUUAUCUUGAAAUCUCUAGGCCAAGCCUGCCCCCAGGGGACCCAGAGAAGCUUCUACAACGAGGGAUCCCUGGGUGGCGCAGCGGUUUGGCGCCUGCCUUUGGCCCAGGGCGCGAUCCUGGAGACCCGGGAUCGAAUCCCACGUCGGGCUCCCAGUGCAUGGAGCCUGCUUCUCCCUCUGCCUGUGUCUCUGCCUCUCUCUCUCUGUGACUAUCAUAAAUAAAUAAAAAUUAAAAAAAAUAAAUAAAAAAAAAGAAGCUUCUACAAUGAGAGGGUGUUGGAAGGCAGGCCAAGUCUUACUAGACUCUGUUUCCUUUGAGUGCCUAGCCCAGAACCAGAAUGGAGAGGUCCACACCCAUGACUAAUUCAAGAAAAGAAUGAACUUCAGCUUUUUUUUUUUUUUUUUUUUUUUGUCUCUUGAAAAACUCAGGCCAUGAGGCAUAUCUUCCCGUAGUAGUCUAAAGAUCUGGUUAUGUGCCAGUCUCCCUCUACUCCCAACCCUGGUCUUUCCUUUUUUGUACUUGCCAGCACCUGGCAGGGUGCUCAGAGAUGGAAGGUGUUUAGAAAGAUUGAGAGGAGUGAGACUCUCAAGUCUCAUUGAAUGGAAAGGCCAUGUAGUCUGAGUCCAUAUGAUGCAGCCUGAAGGUGACCAGUAAAUUGCUUAAUCCUGGGAUAGGAGUAUGAAAGAGCACCCUGCCAAGUGUGAAAGAGGCAGUACCAGAGAAAACAAAAAAGUGUGAAGGGUGACAGAAAUGUUUUGAAAAUCAUGGUGAUGGUUGCAUGCCAUGGUAAAUAUAAUUAAUGCCACUGCUAUGUACACUUAAAAUGGCUAAAGUGGCAUUAUAUGUAUUUUGCCACAAUAAAAUAGUAAGUUUUAAAAGGAAGUGUAUUAUACAAUGCAACAUAAAAAAUAGUAUCAUAUCCUAGCAUGUGCUUUAUAGUUUUUUCCUUCAUUCAGUAAAUGCUAAUUGAGGCAUUAAUGUUCCAUUUAAUCCCCAUGACAUGCUCUGAGGGAAGCAGGACAUUUUACAGAGGAGGAAACUGAGGCACAGCUAGCUGAAGGUCACAUAGCUAGGGAAUGAUAAGAGAGGGUAUUCGAGCCCCAAAUUCUUGGUUUGGGCUCCUUUUAUUUAAUUCCAUUCCUCUUUCUUCCCUAAAAGACCACAUGACAUUUAUUACCCUGUAGGUAGUUCAAGUUAAAAAAGGCCGAAGGACAUAGUAGAUAAAUUCCUGCACAGGCAAGGGGAUAUCCCAGCUCUUCUAAGGGCCCUCCUCCCAAAGGACACCCAAUGCCUGUUCUCAAACAGGCCCACAAGUGGUUGGAGUGGGGGCGGCAACUCUGAAAGGGAGGCAGGAACAGGUGCAGGUAGGAAUAUCACCUGAUCACAGGUGUCCGGGGAACCCCCAUCAGCCAGGAACUUCUCAAUGACCUUCAUUUUCCCCUCCACUGCCGCUUUCAGGAAUGUCUCUUCCUCCACGGGGCCAGUCUGGAAAACAUGAAUCCAGUCACAGACGGCUGCCCUGCAGUGAUCAGAGGCCCUCCUGGCCUUCCUGCACCCCCCGCCCCACCGCUUGCUGACACAGGUGUCCUCCCCAAGACCCUUACGAUCUCCUCGGGCUCUGGAGGUGGCUCCUGGGCGGCGGCCAGUGCUUCCCGCUUCUUCUGCUUCCGUUUUUUCCGCAGCUCGAUGAGGUUCUGGAUCCCGCCCACGUCGAUGAUCUCCCGCCGAAGAUCUAAGGAUGUCUUGCGCACUCGCUCUUGGCCCUGCAUGGAGGCCAGACUCGGAGCCCCUUGGUGCUUCUCAUCCUCCAACACCAGCAUGUCCAUGGGCAGCUUCUGCUGGGCGUUUCCUCGGAGUUUCUGGUGAGCCAAACAGAGGAGGUGCUCCAGGACCUGCCUACAGCACCCAUGGAGGCAGGUAGCCUCUCUCCCAACCCACUCCAAGGAGAUCGCAAGGACCUUCUACUGUGUGACCUCAGAGCCCUUCUGAGCCCCACUUCUGAUGGGUCCUGGAGAGUCCCUGGCCAGAACCAAGCUCAUGGUUCCCCAACUCACCCCAACGCCAAUGUCAGUUCAAAUACCUUUCCACUGAUGGCCGCAUUACCUGGCAGAAAAGGGAAGGGCUUCUCAGUCCUCAGCAAAACAAAUUUAAGGACUGCCAGAAUGCGUGUUCAUGAAAUUAAAUAUAUUCACUUUUCAAAGCACCCAGAUGAUGGUGGUGGUGAUGAUGAUGAUGAUGAUUUCUUUGUUGCCAUUAAAAAUUUGCAUUGAUGAAA